UGGUUGCAAUUGGGACUCAUGACUUGGAUACGCUAGAAGGCCCCUUCAGCUAUGAGGCUUUGCCGCCUUCCAGUAUAAGUUUCGUCCCCUUGAAGCAGGUGAAGAACUU